AACAGGAUUAGAUACCCUGGUAGUCCAUGCCGUAAACGAUGAUUACUAAGCGUUGGAGGGUUUCCGCCCUUCAGUGCUGCAGCUAACGCAUUAAGUAAUCCGCCUGGGGAGUACGACCGCAAGGUUGAAACUCAAAAGAAUUGACGGGGGCCCGCACAAGCGGUGGAGCAUGUGGUUUAAUUCGAAGCUACGCGAAGAACCUUACCAGGUCUUGACAUCUUCUGACAGUCUAAGAGAUUAGAGGUUCCCUUCGGGGACAGAAUGACAGGUGGUGCAUGGUUGUCGUCAGCUCGUGUCGUGAGAUGUUGGGUUAAGUCCCGCAACGAGCGCAACCCUUAUUACUAGUUGCCAGCAUUAAGUUGGGCACUCUAGUGAGACUGCCGGUGACAAACCGGAGGAAGGUGGGGACGACGUCAAAUCAUCAUGCCCCUUAUGACCUGGGCUACACACGUGCUACAAUGGAUGGUACAACGAGUCGCGAAACCGCGAGGUUAAGCUAAUCUCUUAAAACCAUUCUCAGUUCGGACUGUAGGCUGCAACUCGCCUACACGAAGUCGGAAUCGCUAGUAAUCGCGGAUCAGCAUGCCGCGGUGAAUACGUUCCCGGGCCUUGUACACACCGCCCGUCACACCAUGAGAGUUUGUAACACCCAAAGCCGGUGGGGUAACCUUUUAGGAGCUAGCCGUCUAAGGUGGGACAGAUGAUUAGGGUGAAGUCGUAACAAGGUAACC
rnacentral:rRNA from 1 species